GAUGAAGAACGUAGCGAAAUGCGAUAAGUAAUGCGAAUUGCAGAAUUCCAGUGAGUCAUCGAAUCUUUGAACGCACAUUGCGCCCAUUGGUAUUCCGAUGGGCAUGCCUGUUCGAGCGUCAUUUCAACCAUCAAGCCCCAGGCUUGUGUUGGGGACCUGCGGCUGCCGCAGGCCCUGAAAACCAGUGGCGGGCUCGCUGUCACACCGGGCGUAGUAGAUUUUAUCUCGCUCAGGGCGUGCUGCGGGUUCCGGCCGUUAAAAAGCCUUUUUUACCCAAGGUUGACCUCGGAUCAGGUAGGAAGACCCGCUGAACUUAAGCAUAUCAAUAAGCGGAGGA
rnacentral:misc_RNA from 1 species